GGGAAGAAACAUAAUUAUGUGAUGAGAGAAAGAAGCUUCACAUCACCAACAUAUAUGUCAAAGGGACAAAGCUAGCACUGAUCACACAUAACAUGCACUAUAUCUUACAAGUACGAUACUGAACAAAUAUCAGGUUGCAAGAUCUUAUCAAAUCUGAAUAUUACAUGUACUACACGUCUCAAAUUUCAGAAAAUUCAGAGAUUAGAGGGAGAAAGAGAGAUAGCAGCAGCAAGAUUGAGGAGAGAGCAUCAACAAAGGGAGGUUGAGAGAGAGAUUCAGCAGAGGGUGUUGGAGAAGGAGAAGCAGCAGGGGGUGUAGCAAUAGAGAAGCAGCAAGGGGGCGCUGAGAGAAGAAGAGGCGCAAGGAGAGAGGUUGAGAGCAGCAGCAGCGGCAGGUAGAAGAAGUUGAGCGGAGGAGGAGCAGCAGUAGGGACGAGGGGAGGAGCAGCAGCGAAGGGGUUGAGAGAGAGAGAGAGACAGCAGGAGGUUGGAGUUCGGAGCAGCAGCAGCGUGGAGAGUUGAGAGAGCAGCAGCAGAGAAAUAGAAGAAGGAGCAGUAGCUUGGGCGCAAGAAGAGCAGCAGGGCGCAUAGGAAGAAGGAGCAGCAGCAGGUUGCAUGGAAGAAGGAGCAGCAGCAGGGGACGUUGAGAGAGAAGAGGAGCAAGAUCGGGGCAGCAAGGAGGAGAGAGGCGCUUGGUGCUGAUGGCGGCAGUGGCUGGAGAUGGUGGCGCUAGUGGAGUGGUGGAUGGAGGCUGCUGGUGGUGGGUAUGCUGGUGGAUGGAUGGGUGACGGAGGCGCACCACCACGUCGGCCUGGCCAUGGCGGCGGCCGGAGUUGGAUAAGGAGGGGUGAGGGAGAGAGAGAUGUGCCAGGCCCGAUUGGAUCCCUCCAGCGCCUAGGGAUUUUGUUCCCCUCCUCUCAUCUGCACUUUGUGAUUUGGCCCUCUUACUUCUCUUCUUUCUUCACAAGAAGAUCCUCCCACUUCUUCAGCUUGCCCCUGGUAACUUCUUUUCUUCUCUCUCGGGUCCUUGACUCCAUCACUUGAUCUUUUGUAGUAGAAGGAUUUUGUGCCUUGUCACACUUUUCUGCAAAAUAAACAAGUGACUAGUCAACAAUCCUUUUAUAUGAUUUUCAUUCAAUUAUUCCAUAUUUAAAACAAGAAUUGGUGGUCAGAACUCAACAAAUGGUAUAUUUGUAUGCCAAAAUUAUGUAUAAGAAAUGUGCUUAUCAAGUUCCCCCACACCUAAAUCUUUACUUGUCCUCAAGUAAAGGCAUAUGACAAGGGCAAGAUGGUGAAUAGUGACCUGACUAGAGAACGCCAAGUGAAGUAGAUCUCCAAACUAUGCAUGCUUUGGACUUAGUUAGUGAGAAUCAAUGGUUAAAAGUGUUACAAAGCAGUAGGAUACUAGUAGACUCAAUCAUUUUAAAAUUCUACAAUGGUAAAAGAAGAUCAACAAGUUCAAAUGAUGAUUGUGCCAAAUGGUUCCUAAAGAGAGCAUGAUCCCAAGAACAAAGCUUGUGAUCAAAUCACUUAUUUACAGAAAUAAAGCAAUGAUAUUAUUAUUACUAGCAAAAAGGCUCAUGCGUUGCAACGGGAGAAAAAAAUCCUCUCAUAUCUCUAGCUGGGUCAGUUGGACAAACUGUGUGUGGCCGGUUCGCAGGUUACGAGAUCGAACCUGUCAUCGGCAAUUCUAUUUUGUGCCAGCUCUCGGACCUGGGCCUCAGUGCGUCGCCAGGUGGGCAUUCUCCGUUGGGCCAAAACGGGUGGCAAGUAACGAAACCAAAUAGCGUACGUGAAAUUAAUUGAAGCGGGACCAAACGAAGCGGGACGAAACCAAGAAUAUCACCUCCCUUUAAUAGUAAAUUAGUCUCACCAAAGGAACAUACCACCGAUCCCGAGAACAUGGUAUACACCCGGCUCAACUAAUUAUUAGUUUUAGUUUUGUUUGUCUCCCCAAAGGAACAUACCACCGAUCCAGAGAACAUGGUAUACACCUGGUUCGACAAUUACAAUGUUUUUAAUAUAAUUAACUCUUAUCCAAUCCAACCAUAUUUCACAAGCCACCGAUCCAGGGAACAUGACAUGCUACUGUUAGGUAAGAUCAGAUAAUUAUUCAUUAUAAGAUUUUUUUUAAUGAACAACACAUAAGCACAAAAAACAGGAAUCCUCACUUCUCCAUGUCUGGUUCACAUGCUACCGAUCCAGGGAACAUAGCAUGCUAAUCCAUAGUGGUUAGGUGAUUGCUCUAAAUGGGAACACACUUGGCACAAAUUCGGCAUCUAAACAUGGUAAUCUAGGUGUAUCAUAGUAAAUGCAGAAAAUGACAUAGUUUACUAGUGCACUAGGGAUUUGAGCACUCAAAACUAAUAGUUCUCACUAAUUUCAGCAAAGCACGCAUGGUGUAGAUCACUAGUUUACAAGGCAUUCAACAAUCAGUUCGCAUAUUCUCAUCAAGCACCAUAUGUCAAAGGUGAAAUUCAGUGGGACAACAUUUAAGAAAUGGCACAAGCAACCCAAAUAAAAAUUUAAUUCAGCAAGCAUCAAUGGAUGAUGAUUUCAAAAUGGGUCAUGAAACAGCUCACCAGGCUUUGAUGAUGUAGCACUCGCUCGAUCACCUCACCAACUGCAGCUCCUCUCCUUUUGCUUCCUCAUACAUGCUCCAGCUUCACUCUUCCUCAUGUGUGCACAUUGCUUCUCCUCAUCACCAUGCCGUGAAUCCACCAGGAUCCCAUGGGAUGUCAUCUCGAACUUGGUCAGCCCGCAAUGAAUGGUGCACAAGCGUAAACCUGAAAGAACACUCAACAAACAAGCCAAAACAAGUGAUAGGGACAAUGCCCUCCAAGUCAUCAAUAGAGUAUCCUAUCACAUAAGCAUAUCUAUUGAGCAUAUCAUACACAUGUAUCAUCAAUUCACUUGGUGCAUAGGUAAUAUCAACGAUAUGACAUAACUUGUCGAGAAAGCUAAGAUAAUACCUGGGAUGAUCUGAGAGAAGUUUUAGGACUACCUUAGUUGAAGAUACUAUGGAAGGCAUGGUAGUAGAAACUUCCACCAGACUCGUGUCAACAAGUGAAAUAUUAGAGUUUGGCUUCUUGACAUCUAGAUCAACCUCAUCAUAAUCAACAAUGCAGGUUUCCAUCUCAGGCUCAAGUGUUGAGGAAUCAAUGUGGCUAAUGUCAUCAAAGGUGAACUUCUCCAUAUCUGGCUCUAGCAGCACAUGAUCAAUAUCAACUAAAGGUGACUCCUCAAUAUAAAAAACAACUAACUGCAGCUCUGGCUCAUCCAUGGAAGAAUCAUCACAAUGCAAAACUAAAUCUCCAACACUAGUAUCCAUAUGAUCUGAAGUGUGUGUGUCAACUAGGAUGGUGUCAUCAUCAUCAUCAAAGAUAAUCCAUGAAAGCUCAAUCUUGUUACACGGAGAAACUGGUUCCGACUUUUGUGUAAGAGAUUCUUGCUGAGAUGAAGUGAUUUGUUGCAAACAAGCAACUGAAUCAGAGAUGGGCUUCUCAUUGUACCACUGAAGUUGGUGGAAGGCUAUACUCUCAAUCAGCAGAAAAGCAUCAUCAAGUGUCUUGUUUGUAAUAGCUCCACCCGCUGCCAUAUCGAUGUAAGCUCGAGUGUCCGAAGUCAAUCCUCUAUAGAAUAUCUGCAACUCUAACCAUCUCUCGAGCCCGUGGUUAGGACAUCUCCUGAAUAAAACCUUGUAUCUCUCCCAAGCAUCAUACAAGCUCUCGUAUUCACGCUGAAUGAAAUUGAAGAUCUCAUCUCGAAUCACAGACUGCUUGUGUAGUGGGAAAUAUCUAUCCAAGAAAGCUCGUGAUAUCUCAUUCCAACUGUAUGACCUUGAUGGCAAGGAUCGAUACCAAGCAUGAGUAUCAUCACGGAGAGAGAAUGUGAACAACCUGCACAUGAUUGCAUCUUGAGGAACUCCAUGGUACUUGACUGUAUCUGAAUACUCCAUGACUCGGUGUAAGUGCUCAUAGGGAUCCUCAGUAGGCAGUCCUCCAAACUGUUGUUGUUGAACCAAAGCAAUAAGACUAGGUUUCAGCUCGAAGUUCUCUGCCUCAAUAGUUGGCCAAAUCGGUCCUGUGAUAUAGCACUGACUUUUGGGCAUCCAAAGAUCACGAAGCAAUGCCAUCUUAACCGAGUGUAACUAUACCUGCAAUUAGUUCAGAUUUCCUACAAACACUCAUAAACAGUAAACACUGGUCAGAAAGUUAGUAUCCUAAUAAGCCGAAGCAACAAAAAGUAAAAAGGUAAAAGAAGCACAGAAAUCAAUUUGAAUGGAAAUUUAAACAAAAACUAAACUAAGCCUAGUCUAUAGCUUCACACAAUCGUUCGACGCUAGUCCCCGGCAACGGCGCCAAAAUGAUCAAUCGAAAGUAUAGUGGGGUUUUUACGACCAAACUACGGAUGUCGUGUUCUCCACAGGGACUAGGCAAAUCGAUGAUCGUGCUUGGCUAAAGCUAGGUAACACAAUUCAGCUUAUGAAUGCAAACAUAAAACCUAAACUAUCAAUGAUUGUCGCCAAAGAAAAUGCAGAUAAGCAAAGGUAGAUUCAGAUUUUACUUGAUGUAUUUUUUUGGUGUUUUUGUUUUAGUUGAGAAAUAAAAUGCUAACACAAGCAAACAUCAAUGGCUAGGGAAUUAAAAAGACAUGAACAUAUAUAUAACUCGCUAACAUAUAACAGGGGGAAGAAACAUAAUUAUGUGACGAGAGAAAGAAGCUUCACAUCACCAACAUAUAUGUCAAAGGGACAAAGCUAGCACUGAUCACACAUAACAUGCACUAUAUCUUACAAGUACGAUACUGAACAAAUAUCAGGUUGCAAGAUCUUAUCAAAUCUGAAUAUUACAUGUACUACACGUCUCAAAUUUCAGAAAAUUCAGAGAUUAGAGGGAGAAAGAGAGAUAGGAGCAGCAAGAUUGAGGAGAGAGCAUCAACAAAGGGAGGUUGAGAGAGAGAUUCAGCAAAGGGUGUUGGAGAAGGAGAAGCAGCAGGGGGUGUAGCAAUAGAGAAGCAGCAAGGUGGCGCUAGAGAGAAGAAGAGGCGCAAGGAGAGAGGUUGAGAGCAGCAGCGGCGACAG
rnacentral:lncRNA from 1 species